rnacentral:misc_RNA from 1 species
CUUAAUUCUAUAAAACCAUAAGAACUUACCAAUACCAUUUUACAUUGCAGUUCUGCAUUCUGGAAUAUAUGGCUUCUGAAGAGGACAUCGUUGUGGAUCUGGAUGCUUGCACCAGCAACAAACAAGCUACUGUAGCAGAUAAAAAGCCCAACAUGAAAGGUGCAGGCAACUCUAAUUUUGAGAAAGCACUGGCAAGGAGAGCACUUUUUGGGUCGCACAAUCAUCGGGUUAAGGGCAGAAAAAUUGUCAACAAUGGUGAAAGAUUGUCGCCAAGCAGGCUAAGCAAGGUUUCAUUGGCUGACGAAUAGGUAGACUGAGGUAUAGGUCCUGCAUUAUUUAGCGUGUAAAAAUUUCUGUUGUAGCCUGUAUCAGUAGAAAAAGAAAUGAAGAAGAAUAAGAUCCAACAUGGAUGUGUUAGACAGACGGCAUAUGAAUCUAAACAAGAUUCUUAAUCUGUCUGUAGCAUGUGUAGUAUUACCACUAAAACCAUUUAAUAGCAACUACAUAAUGCAUGUUAGAAAACUAGAAUUUUGAUAAGAAAAAAAAAUGAAACAUCAAAUCUAAAUGCAUUUCAUAUGUAUCUGGAAAUUUUUUUUUAUGUAGUGAAGAGUGCUUAAAUUUUUGUAUGAUGAAAUUUGGAAAGGACAAAAACAGUACAAGGAAUAAACAAAGACUAUAUCCUGUAAUGCAAUUGCUUCUUA